AGUAGAGAUGGGGUUUCACCAUGUUGGUCAGGCUGGUCUCAAACUCCUGACCUCAGGUGAUCCACCACC
rnacentral:miRNA from 1 species